rnacentral:lncRNA from 1 species
GGAUUGACAAUGGCAGGACCAAAUUUCACCACCAAUGCUCCAAGGCCCUCCCAAUGGAUAUAAAGGAGAUGGUGGUGGUGGGACUGCUUGUUUGGUGGCGGAUCCGCUGGUUUCUUGGGCGGUCGAUCUGGCACGGCGGCGCAACAAAGAGCGAGAAACAUUCGCGAGUGAGAAGGUGAAACAUCGAUGUUGUUAUGGCGGGCGCUGGUUUUUCAUCUCAAAAUUGAGAGAGAAGAAUCUACAAAUUUGGGUGGGAAAGAGAAUGAUGAAAG